GACGAACGCUGGCGGCGUGCUUAACAUAUGCAAGUCGAACGGAAAGGCCCUGCUUUUGUGGGGUGCUCGAGUGGCGAACGGGUGAGUAACACGUGAGUAACCCGCCCUUGACUUUGGGAUAACUUCAGGAAACUGGGGCUAAUACCGGAUAGGAGCUCCUGCUGCAUGGUGGGGGUUGGAAAGUUUCGGCGGUUGGGGAUGGACUCGCGGCUUAUCAGCUUGUUGGUGGGGUAGUGGCUUACCAAGGCUUUGACGGGUAGCCGGCCUGAGAGGGUGACCGGCCACAUUGGGACUGAGAUACGGCCCAGACUCCUACGGGAGGCAGCAGUGGGGAAUAUUGCACAAUGGGCGGAAGCCUGAUGCAGCAACGCCGCGUGCGGGAUGACGGCCUUCGGGUUGUAAACCGCUUUCGCCUGUGACGAAGCGUGAGUGACGGUAAUGGGUAAAGAAGCACCGGCUAACUACGUG
rnacentral:rRNA from 1 species